UCUUCUCCCUCAUUACUGCAGCAACGAAGCUUUCAGCUUCCAGGGAGAAGAGAAACGAGAAACAUUCCCGUAACCCUCACGUUAAUUUCCGAUCCCCGUAACUUCUUCGUCCGAGCUCCAAUCGCCGCACCGUUUGCGGCCACGCGUUCACCGCGUCGAGCUCUACAUUUCUAUCGGAACAAUUUCAAAGGAUCCAAUUAGCUUGAGAGAAAUGUUCACUCUUGCUUAUGUGAAGCUUGGGUAAGGUUGAAAAUAAAUAAUUGGAGCUUGAAAUUGUGAAUACUGGAACUUGGAGGAAGCGGAUUAGUUGAGUUUUGAGGGGUUGUCUUGGUUUUGAACAAAUAGCUUUGGUCGUUACGUGGAAAUCGGCUAAGGUAUGGUUUUGGUUUUUUGCAUUUAAUAUAUAAUGUUCUGUGAAAACUUAGGCUAGACGGCCAUAGGAUA